CGCAUCUGUGCACUGCAGCAUAUCAAUAAGCGGAGGAAAAGAAACUAACAAGGAUUCCCCUAGUAACGGCGAGUGAAGCGGGAAGAGCUCAAAUUUGAAAUCUUAAAGGGUUUCCCUUUACGAAUUGUAGUUUAAAGAAGUGUUUUCUGUUGAGGUUUUGGUAAAAGUUCUUUGGAAUAGGACAUCAUAGAGGGUGAGAAUCCCGUAUUUGACCUUUACUUUCAACUUUGUGAUACAGCUUUCAAAGAGUCGGAUUGUUUGGGAAUGCAGUCCAAAAUGGGUGGUAAAUUUCAUCUAAAGCUAAAUAUUGGCGAGAGACCGAUAGCGAACAAGUACCGUGAGGGAAAGAUGAAAAGAACUUUGAAAAGAGAGUUAAACAGUACGUGAAAUUGUCAAAAGGGAAGCGUUUGACACCAGUGUUGUUUUUCUGAAAAUCAAUUAAAGAACUGUUUAUGCUAAGCUGUUUAGACUUUAUCAGCUAUCUGUUUAGUUUUGAGCUUUUCUUUAAUGCACUUUUCAGUUAACAAGUCAACAUCAAUUUCUUUUGCUGUAAAAAAGCUUGAGGAAGGUGGCUUGAGAUUCGUCUUAAGUGUUUAUAGCCUCUUGCCUAUGCAGUCGGAGAGAUUGAGGUCUGCAGCGUAGAUCCUUCGGGGCUAAAUGCAUUUGUGCUAAGUUAUAGCAUUUUAUAGACAACUUGUUGACUAUGAUUUGUCUUGUAGCUUACUCGCUUAUGUUAUUUUACCUACGCUUAGGAUGUUGAGUCGUAGAGCACGCAG
rnacentral:rRNA from 1 species